AUGCUUUAACUGCAGAGUAUGUUUCAAUUUUCUGACAUAAGCAUGGUAAAUAAAUAAAAAGUUUUAACUGGCUCAGCCGAUACCUAGGUCUUUAUGCUUUGCAUGCGUGAUUGGAGGUUUCUCAUUUUCUCAAACCAGAAUUGCAAUUUCUGGAAAUGUCAAUUGACCUCUUGGAUCAAAAGUGAAAGACUCUGAACCUGUCCCAGUGCCUGCAUAGACAAAUUUACUGAUACGGAUAAAGAUUAACUUGCCAAGUAAUCUGUCGCCACUCAAGAAAAUUCUCAGUGACCAUCUUGGUGCUUUUCCUCACUCAUUGGCAUUUCCAUCCCCUGCAAAUGAAGUGUCGCACUCUUCUAGAACAUGGAUACAAAUAGACACCAUGCAGCAUUUGCAAGACUUAACAUCUUAUCAUAACAGCAAUUUCCUCAGCAGAGUUUUGUAUAUUAGUUCUCAAUGGACUCAUUUGUAUCCAAUUGGCUAUCCUUCGGAAUUAUUUGAGUCACUAUCUUGAUCCAGGGCGAUGAUAUUUCAGAUCCUUGCUUGAGAGUUUCAGCAGAAGAGUUUUGUAUAUUAGUUCUCAAUGGACUCAUUUGUAUCCAAUUGGCUAUCCUUCGGAAUUAUUUGAGUCACUAUCUUGAUCCAGGGCGAUGAUAUUUCAGAUCCUUGCUUGAGAGUUUCAGCAGAAGAACCUCAUAAAAAAAGUAGUCCUUGCUGUCUGGGACUUCCUGUUCGAUUCAUCUAGCACCUUUUGAUUUAAAGAUUCAGAGAGAUGUACUGAUCCUUCUGACAAGAAUUUGGAUAAAGAAGCUGAAGGAACAGGUAGAGAGCUUCAGGAGAUUGAAAGACGUGCACACUGACAACUCUCACAAACCUUGGCUGCAAACCUUCCUCUUUGCUUCAGAAUGUCUUAUCUGCUGAUAAUAUUGGAAAUGUCUUGGUUUUAUCAUUCCCUCAACUGCCUCUGAACUCUAAGUUCUAAACGAACAGAAGGUAGCAAUAUAUGACUUCUCCGCAUCACUCUUUGCACCCAAGAUCCAUUGACAAGAGUGCACAUGAAUUUAGUCUAGCAGUCCUGGUGCAGAAAAUGAAAAGAAGUUCAAUGUGGUUGAGGAAACUCUCCAUAUCUCCAACCAGGAUCAUGUUGUGCGUGGCAGGAUGCUGCCCAUUAGUUCAUGAGUUGGACGAUGAUCUUAAAGAUUCUGAACUUAGUCCAAGACUGGCUAAUUUCAUCAAAAGUGGAGUUGGUUCCAGAAUCCCCUAUAGAUUAUAUACUAGUUUGUGCAAGCUCUUUUCGUUCAACAUUCUUGGUAUUGAAAAUGCAGGGAUGUGGAAUGGCAACAGAGCCGAUAUCACUGGCCCUGCUCUUGUUUUUUCCCCAAUAUUGGAAACUGAACGCGUAAACUCUUUUGAACGUGACAAGAAGGAAGAUAAAAUGGUAGCUUGGGGGAGAUUGGAAAUCCGGUGUCUGAAAUGAUGAUGGCAUUCAUACAGAUUGUAACACGGGUGCAGUGGGCCGUGCUCAUCACAGGCAAAUAAGUGAAAAUCUCCUUUCUCUAAACUCUCGAACACUGGCAGCAGUGUAAGAUUUGACUCUUGGAUUCUGAUAUCAAGCUCGAAACAGUUAAGCAGCAGUGCAAGUUCUGCAGGCUGCACAUGAAUGGAGACCUCAACAAACAGAAUCCGAGUUAAAAAUUCAAAACUUCCAUGAGGGCUGACUAUCACAAAUCAGCUGAACUUCUCUAAGGUCAUCUAAUUUCUUAGUUUAUCUGUGAAAAUGUAAAAUUAUCUUAUAACAUGCAGCUGUAUUGUCUUAUCUUAUAACAUGCAGCUGUCUUGUCUUACCCUAUAGUUUGAGCAAACAUAAUCUUUCUGGUGUU